rnacentral:rRNA from 1 species
CCUACGGGUGGCAGCAGUGGGGGAUAUUGCACAAUGGGGGGAACCCUGAUGCAGCGACGCCGCGUGGGUGAAGAAGCGCCUCGGCGCGUAAAGCCCUGUCAGCAGGGAAGAAGGAAGUGACGGUACCUUAGGAGGAAGCCCCGGCUAACUACGUGCCAGCAGCCGCGGUAAUACGUAGGGGGCAAGCGUUAUCCGGAAUGAUUGGGCGUAAAGAGUACGUAGGCGGUUCUUUAAGCGUAGGGUCUAAGGCGAUGGCUUAACCAUCGUUCGCCCUGUGAACUGGAGGACUUGAGUAUCGGAGAGGAAAGCGGAAUUCCUAGUGUAGCGGUGAAAUGCGUAGAUAUUAGGAGGAACACCAGUGGCGAAGGCGGAUUUCUGGACGAAAACUGACGCUGAGGUACGAAAGCGUGGGGAGCAAACAGGAUUAGAUACCCCGGUAGUC